GUGAACAACAUCAGUGAUGAAAGACGCUCAAAACUUCUAAAGCAGACAACGUUAUUUAUUAAGUUACACAUUUAAAUAUACAGAUGGUAGAAAUGUUAAUUUUCUCUCUUUAAGCAAGAGUGAAAUACAACUGAAAGAAAGACCAUAAACAAUCUCAGCAAUCUUCAAUAAGCAUGAAGAAUCUUUGACAGAUACUAUAUGCAGUAUCAGACUGAAAUGAUGAAGACAUGUUUAAUUCACAUUUAUACUUUUAAAGGGAUUACUGUAAUUUCACUCAUAUUUACUCAGCUUUACAAUAAUCAACAUCUCACAGAUGCCAUACAGCUUGAUCUGCAAUAUUCUGUCAAUUCAGAACAGUGCAAAAAACACAACUUCUGACCUCACAAGACAUGUCUGCUCACAUUCACACAUAUAUCUGAAGAUCAGAAGCUUCACAUUCACAGUGAGGUAAUGAAGACAACAGAAAAAGCCCAAAAUUAAUCCAUUUGGUUUAUACAAUAUGAGUGUAAAGGUCAUCAAACAUUGUUCUUCUUCUGGCCUUUGAGCACCACAUACAGAUCUGAUGUUUUUGGCAGCUAACAUUUAUGUAGAUUCCUGAUCAUUUUAGUCACAGAGAGGAUUAAGUUUAUUAUUUUUCCUGAGUAUCAUUAUUUACACCUAUAUUGAAACAAUACAGUAACAAUUUUUCAAUAUUACCAAAAUACAUAAUUAAAAAUAAGCAAAAUAUUACUGCAUCAAAAGUGGAUUACAAAACAAGUAAAAAAGACCAAGUUCAUAGUUUUUCUCAAUACAUAAUGCAGCUUCACAAAGAGAAGAGCAAGAGGUCAGUUAAAGGCAACAAUGGCAAGGAAAAAAAUCUCUCUAAAGAUGUUUAAAAUGGGAGAAACAACUUGGCAAGAAACACAUUUGAGUCCAUGCCAGCAAUAAUAAUAUAAUUGUUGUUAUUGUUGUUGUUGUUGUUGUUGUUAUCAUAAUCAUAACAGUGUAAAUUUGUCAUUAUUGAGUCACUCACUUUGCAAAAACUGGCCUUGAUAGUGCACUCUUUCACUGUGAUGCAGACUAUAAUAAAGUUAAAAUGAACCUGAAACCCAAGAUAUAAGGCUGAAAUGAGUAUAAAUUUUUGUCUUAUAUUUAUAUAAUAUAAUAUAGUUGAGCAAGAGUGAUUUUCUUCCUGAAUAUCUGCAUGAUUUCAAAUGUGAUAUUGAUUUUAUUUAACAGUUCAGUUCAAUAAGCACCUCUGUUUUUGCUUUAUUUCACAAACUAAAAUAGUUCCAAAUAAAUCACAGCAGAACCACUGCAUCUCUUCCUGUAUAUCAUAUAUAUAUAUAUAUAUAUAUAUAUAUAUAUAUAUAUAUAUAUUAUAUGAUAUCUUGAAAUUUUCUGGGAUUUUGAUAACAAUAAUUGUGUUUUUGUGCUGGAAUAUCUUGGCUGGUUUAGGACUGUCUAACUCACAAAACUUUUCAUAAUCUGCAUUAAAGGUGAUAUUUUCUCCCAUAAAUUGAUCUCCAGUGACAAUUUUACCUUUAUUGUCAUUUUUCUUACAUAUAGAUAAAUGCAUCUUCUUUUAUGUCAAAUUAAUUUAAUAAAUA